AUUGAACGCUGGCGGCAGGCCUAACACAUGCAAGUCGAACGAGUGGCGGACGGGUGAGUAAUGUCUGGGAAACUGCCCGAUGGAGGGGGAUAACUACUGGAAACAGUAGCUAAUACCGCAUACCAUCGGAUCUGCCCAGAUGGGAUUAGCUAGUAGGUGGGGUAACGGCUCACCUAGGCGACGAUCCCUAGCUGGUCUGCGAGGAUGAUCAGAAACACUGGAACUGAGACAAGGUGCAGAGUCCUACGGGAGGCAGCAGUGGGGAAUAUUGCAGAAUGGGCGGAAGCCUGAUGCAGCCAUGCCGGGUGUAGGAAGAAGGCCUUAGGGUUGUAAAGUACUUUCAGCGAGUAGGCGUUACUCGCAGAAGAAGCACCGGCUAACUCCGUGCCAGCAGCCGCGGUAAUUC
rnacentral:rRNA from 1 species